AAAUAAUCAUGUAUCCUUAACACUGGUUUGUGUCACACUAAAUACGAUCUUUUUCACGUUUUUCAUUCAAUGACAUACGUUAAUACUAUAAGUGAGGAGCUUAAUGAAUGAAAAUAGAAACGCUCCGUCUGCAGUGUGGUUGUACUGGCUUGGGGUCAGUAUUUUGUCACAAGUAUGAGAGAGCUAGUCAAAGCUUCCUUGAACGUGCUCGCUGCGGCGGCGGCGGCAGCGGUCGCUGCUGCCAUGGCUGCCUCCAGAAACUUGGGUGCCUCUGCUGCAAGUGUUUUGGAGAAAUCCUCAAUAGAUUUCUUCUGUUCGUUCGCCAGUUUGCCAAUGGCUUCCUGGAACUUGGCCAGCUCGACGUUGGAAGCGUCUUUAACGUCAUCAAAGAGGUGCCUCGCCUUUUCCUCGGUGACCUUUGCGCCGUCCACUAUUUUAGCUGUAAUAUGUUAAUCACAUUUACCAAACAUCAAUUGUGCUCAAGGAAACUCCUCAACAGAAUCUCUGGAGUAAAGUUCGAAAAGACACACACACAGCAAUACUGAUCAGACAGUCUGUAGACGUAUGGGGCUCUGCACGCAACACUCGCUACGGGCAUAGAUAACAGAAACCACACCCGUAGGGGUUGAGACGGCGGCCACGACGUUAGCCUCACUUGCGAUACCAAAUAAUAAUAUAUUUUUUAUAUAAAUCAGGUAUAUAUUUUGUACAUAACAUUGGUAACGUGACAUCAGCUGUGGACAGCUGCUCCUAGCUCGACCUCUUCGGUAUGAAGGAGACGGUCAGCAGGUCGUCCUCCUCGCGCAGGAGGAAGUCGUCGGUGGACUUGCUGCGGGUGAACAACCUGAUCGAAUAAGGAAAAUACAUUACAACAAUACCACGUGUGUGGAGGAGCAGCGAGAACCAAAACUAUAUCACGUGCGGACACAAAGGAAUCAGAAAAAAAAUCCCGAACAACACCCUGUAUAUAUAACAUACAUAGUGCGGAACACGUGUUAGAAAAUACACAAAGUGCUAUAUAAAAAGCUGGACAAAUAUAUAUAUAUAUAUAUUAUAAAUUAUAAUAAAUGCACAAAAAUCAUAAUUUUAACAGGAAUUGAGAAAAUAACUCACACGAAGCCGACACACGGGACGCACACAUUGAAAGGAAAUAAUAUAUAAUGAUUAUUACCGUCAGCACUUUACGAGCGGCGACGUGAGAGAGACGCGACUUCUGUGAGAGAGCGACAGUGCAACGCUGAAGGCGGGAGGUGAGAGUAUAUGUAUGUGGCGAUGUCCUCACUUGGCCAGAGGCGUGCCUUUGUCCUGAGGGUCCAACUUCUCGUCCAGGCCGCGGUGAACCGCCACCGCCUCCAGCUGCUCCAGCUGUUCCUGGUGUAAGGACUGGAGAUACUCUGGAGUUUUCAGCUGCUCCAUCGUCGGCUUCCUGAAGCUGAGAUCUCUCCUAACACAUACGUCUUCAGCAGCAGGCUGGAGCACACCACGGACACCGAGCUCAUGGCCAUAGCAGCGGACGCCAUCCACGGCUGAAACACGUUAUAUAUGAUGUUAAUGUUGACUCCCAUGUCCAGGGCUGCUCCCGGUGAUGUCUUACAAGACGGCUGAAGUUAUAUAUAGCCGUAUAUAUACUUAAAUGUUACCAUUGCAUAAUCACAAUGGUUCCUUAUUAUAAUUAUUAUAAUCAGUCGUAAAAAUACUUCUAAGGAUUGUAUUAUAGUUAGUUCGGCACAGAUGGCGCCACUUGUAUGCGUAUUGGAACAGUGCCCAUCACGUGUUACACGUCACUGGCGCCCCGGAAGCGGCGUGUGUUCACCUGGAGCUGCAGGCCGUAGAGCGCGAAGGCUCCGCUGGCCAGCGGGAUGCCCAGCAGGUUGUAGACGGAAGCGAACACGAAGUUCAUCCUGAUGCGGCGCACCGUGACCCGCGACAGCUGCAGGCACGACACCACGUCCAGCAGGUCGCUCUGAUAACAACCGGUUACUUCAUGCACAUGUUUCGCUAACCUCGUGUGUACCAGGCCUAAGACCUCGCCGAGUAUUCAUGUGAAUCAAACUAAUAUUUUCGGAUGACUUUGCCUUAUUUUAUUAUAUUUAAUUGUUUUUCAUCUCGUCUGUCUGUCUGUCGGAGUGAAGUACUCGAAACGUCGGGAGUAUGUAAUUUUUAAAAAUAAUUAAAUAGGCGUAGUACAUUCGAAAAUAUAAGUGUUAUUUAAU